rnacentral:lncRNA from 13 species
GAGUGAACCCCCAGCAAACUGCAGCAGCCCUAUGGAAAAGGGGACUGACUGAAACAACAAGAACAAGAACAACAACAACAACAACAAACUGAAAGCAACAACAACAUCAACAAAAAGACCCCAGAAAACCCCGUUCAAAGCUCAGCAACCUCAAAGAUUGAAGAUUCUUGUUCCCAAAGUUACACUUGAGUGUGCUUCACUUCCUAAAGCAGUUCUGAAG